CCUACGGGAGGCUGCAGUGAGGAAUAUUGGUCAAUGGACGAGAGUCUGAACCAGCCAAGUAGCGUGAAGGAUGACUGCCCUAUGGGUUGUAAACUUCUUUUAUAAAGGAAUAAAACGAGGCAAGUGUGCCUUUAUGCAUGUACUUUAUGAAUAAGGCUAGGCUAACUCCGUGCCAGCAGGCGCGGUAAUACGGAGGAUGCGAGCUUUAUCCGGAUUUAUUGGGGUUAAAGGGAGCGUAGAUGGGUUGUUAAGUCAGUUGUGAAAGUUUGCGGCUCAACCGUAAAAUUGCAAUUGAUACUGGCAGUCUUGAGUACAGUUGAGGUAAGCGGAAUUCGUGGUGUAGCGGUGAAAUGCUUAGAUAUCACGAAGAACCCCGAUUGCGAAGGCAGCUUACUAAACUGUGACUGACAUUGAUGCUCGAAAGUGUGGGUAUCAAACAGGAUUAGAUACCCGAGUAGUC
rnacentral:rRNA from 1 species